UUUUCUUUUGCACAAUUUUAUUCAAACCUCAACGGUGUGAGCCAUAUUUUUCCCUCUCUCCUGCAGUGUAAGAGAUAGGGUGAAUAGUGACUUACUGUAGAAUGAUAAUGAGUGAUAAAGAGUAUGUGUAGCCAUCCUUCAGAAUGGAAUUGAAGAACAUAAUAAACAAGGAAGAAUAGAAUGGUGAAUUUAUGGCAACAACAACAACAAAAAAGGAGGCAUAAUCACUUCUUCUUGAGGGUGAAAGUUCCUAUCUAUUGUACGAAAGAAAAG
rnacentral:misc_RNA from 1 species